AUAAAACAACCGUGACCAUCUCUUGUUAAGACAAAACAUAAGAGAGAGAACAAUGGCUAAGCAUUGUCUUAAACUUCCGGUGCUCCACCCCCCUGCCAACCCCCCCUUGCUGUUCCACCCACCACAAGGAUGCCCGGCACCGGAACAUUCCAGGCAUUCCCGUGGUUGGCAGAUAGCAGGUUGACUGGCAUGUCGGACCCCACGUGCACUGGGUACUGACAUCCAUGGAGGCCCUCUUCAAGGAGGGGGAUUCCUUCAAUCUCCCUCCCAACACCUCUCUCCUCCCCAACACCACCAAUACCUCUCUCCCCUUCCAGCCCAUCUUCGAGUGUUUAGAUUCAAGAACCGCAAUGGUGCUCUUUUCCGUGAUCUCCCUGAUCAACUUCCUCCUCAUGGUCCCCCUCAACACCUGGGUCAUGUGGCUCGGAACCAGGCAGGGAGUUUCCAUGACAACACCAACAACAACGAAAACAAUCGAGAUCUUCACCUGUAACCUGGCUGCAAUGGAGAUAGGCCACAGCUUCAUAAUCACCUGCUUCUCGAUUAGCUACUACCUGAAUGUGGAUGCAUUGAUAAUCAUUUCCAUAAUGAGUGAUAGCCUUGUCACGUGUGGUAGACCUCUGUUCCAUUGCUGUACCUGCCUGGAGCGUUACCUGGCCGUGGUCCACCCUGUGGCCUACCUGAGGCUCAGAGCCCCCCGGUACAGGUGGGCCCUGUCUGGGGUCGUCUGGCUGGUCUCCCUGGGCUGGGUGGGGGUGAUGGUAUGGUGUUUUCCAUUCUAUCCCACCAAACCUCUUUUUGGCUUGUUCCUACCCCCUUUAAUGUUCAUGUCUUUCUGUAGCCUGGCCGUUCUGAGGGUUCUGAUUCGUCCAGGGCCGGGGGAAGGGGGCGGGGACAAGAAGCAGAGGGAACAAUCGAAGAUGAGGGCUUUCAGAACCAUCAUGGUCGUCUUGGCGACGCUGGUGGUCAGUUUCGGGUCGUCUCUUAUUGUGUCGGUGGUGAAGGAUGUGAUCCCCUAUGACAAUGGGUGCAUAGCUCUCGUAGUGACCUUCCUGUUUUUUUCCCCUAGUUCUGCUGUUCAACCUCUUCUUUUCUUACACAAGAUCGGGAAACUGCAUUGCCUUUAAAACCCUAUGCCUAAGGCAGUGUUUCCCAACUCCAGUCCUCGAGUACCCCCAACAGCAAACAUUCUUGUUGUAGCAUCUGACAAACUCACCUGAUUCAACUCAUUGAGGGCUUGAUGAUUAGUUAAAUCAGGUGUGUUUGUCCAAGGCUACAACACAAAUCAGUGAUGUUGGGAAACACUGGCCUAUGAUAUUCUGUGCAUCAGUGGCUUAGCAACCUGUUGGCCUGGCCCUGUAAAGUAUUUGUAUAGCACAUUCGCAGAGCAUUACAUGGACAUUUAGAAAACAGGCAUCCUGGGGUCAGGGCAAACAGGAUGCUAAAGCCUCAGGCUUGUUUGACAUUGCAGCUGACACUGUAGGCAGCUGCCUACUGACUGAUGUCAUGGAAAGUGCUGGUGUUCUUAAUGUUUUGUACACUCGGUGUAUACCAACAACCACAAAAUGUAAAUCCACUAAGACUGACUCUAAUUGACUUCCUAAUGCAGGCAUGCCUCAAUGGAGGGUGCAAAUUGGGAAGAGACAAUAGUUGUAGUCUCUGAAGAUUUGAAUUCUGUUGGAGUUGAUGUCUGUCACCAAUUGGUAAGAAAAUGGCACCUCAGAUUCCAUCUGGUCCUAGUCAUGUCCAACAUCACAAUGUAUUUUUUAUGAUCUGUGUGCAGUAGUGCUUUCUGCCCACAUGCUUGUUGGUUGUUUUUGGAGGAAUGUGAUUGUCCCAUAUUUAUUUGUCCUCUUUUGUCUUUGCUGAAGCCCAUUUCAAAUGCUUUACUUACACAAAAUAAUAUACAAACACCAUAAUUUGUCACUUGAAUGAUCUUCCUCUAAGGAAUGUUUAUAUCUGAUAUCAUUUUACAAUAACACAUUUUAUUUUGGACUGAGCUUUCUUUUUCUUAAAUGUUUUAUGUAAAGACAAAAACUAAAAAAAGACAUCACACACAGGUGUUAGAUCAUCAGGUGAUUUGAAUAUGUUUCAGUCUCAGAUGUCUGUUUUGUUUUGCUUAUUUGAAUGGGAUCAGCUCUGCCA
rnacentral:lncRNA from 1 species